UCUCCUACAGGCGGAUGUUGUGGUGCCACCUCGAAGAAGACCAUCGUGGGCGGGUGGGCGUGGGCCUGGUGGUUUGUGACCGAUGUCCAGAGACUCUCCCUUGAGGUGAUCACACUGAACCCACGGUGCGAGAAUGUAGAGACAUCUUUGGGUGUGCAGGUGACGGUGACAGGUGUGGCCCAGGUCAAGGUCAUGAAGGAAGACACUGUGCUCAAGAUUGCCUCCGAGCAGUUCCUGGGCAUGAGUCAAGAUGAUAUUAAGGGCACCAUCCUCAUGACUCUGGAGGGCCACCUUAGGGCCAUCUUAGCCACACUGACCGUUGAGGAAGUGUAUCAGGAUCGUGACCAGUUUGCUCAGCUUGUACGAGAAGUUGCUGGCAUGGACGUUGGCAGAAUGGGCAUUGAGAUCUUAUCCUUCACCAUUAAGGAUGUGUAUGACCGUGUGGAGUACCUCUCGUCCCUGGGCAAGUCUCAGACGGCAGCAGUGAAGAGAGAUGCAGACAUUGGUGUGGCUCAGGCCAACAGGGAUGCUGGUAUUAAGGAAGCUGAGUCAGAAAAAACAGCAAUGGAUGUGAAGUACAACACAGACACAAAAAUUGAAGACAACGCCAGAAUGUACAAACUGCAGAAGGCCCAGUUUGACCGAGAGAUUAACACUGCAAAAGCAGAAGCCCAACUGGCUUACGAACUUCAAGCAGCGAAAACACGACAGAAAAUCCGAAACGAGGAAAUUGCAAUUGAAAUUGUGGAAAGGAGAAAGCAAAUUGAGAUUGAAGAGCAGGAAAUCAAACGCAAGGAAAAGGAGUUGAUGGCCACUGUGCGUCUCCCUGCUGAGGCUGAGAGUUACCGUGUGGAAACUAUUGCUCAAGGUAGACGUACUCAGACUGUGGAGGCAGCCAGGGCUGAGGCCGAGAGGAUAAAGCGCAUUGGUGAGGCAGAAGCUUAUAAUGUUGAGGCUGUUGGUAAGGCUGAGGCAGAGGGCAUGAAGAUGAAGGCUCUGGCUUAUAAACAGUAUGGAGAGGCUGCAAUUAUGUCCAUGGUGCUGGAGAGUUUGCCCCAGAUUGCUGCUGAAAUUGCUGCUCCACUGGCUAAGACAGACGAAAUUGUGAUGGUUGGUGGAGGUGACACCAUGACUAAUGCCAUCACCAAGAUGUGUGGUGAGCUUCCUCCUUCCAUCCACGCCCUCACCGGUGUUGACAUCUCCAAGGUGCUAGCAUCAGUUCCAGGAGCUAUGGUCACACCAUCAACUGCCCCACCACGAGUUGCACCCACUGCCGUGUAACAACCUCACCUGACACAUAAACUCAGUGAUAGCAAUGAGAAGAUGAGAGGCAAGGACGACGAGCACUACAGGUAUUUUGGCCCAUCAUUGAAGAAAUCCAUUAAUGAGUACAUCCACAGGCAAACUCUUUCUUUGUGAAAUAGUGGAAGAAGAAGACAAAAAUUUACUUCUCAAGUUAGUAGAGGAGGACAAGCUUUUACAAAGAAUGGAAUAUAUUUAUGGACAGAUCCCACCAGUGCCUGUGCAAGUUCCAGUGUGUGGCAUUAUAUUCACUAUUAUACAGUAGCUGUUUCCAAAGUACAAUGAAACCUCUAUUUAACGGAAGAUAUGGAGAGGAAAGUCCGUUAUAUUGAGAGUUCAUUAAAUGUGAAACCUUCAUCUAACAAACUAUAUAGAGAUGAAAAUAUGUUCUAUCAAGGGUCCAUUAGAUAUGAAAUUUCCCAUCUAACAGAUUACUUGGAGCGAAAAGUCCUUUAUAUGGAGGUUUCAUUGUAUGAGUACUUGCCAGUAUUCCUGUAAUGUGUAGUGCUUCAAUAUAAUAAUGUUAUUACAUGACAGUCUAUUUAUGGUUCAUAUGUACACCAGUCUUUUGAAAUGGUGCCAUGUACCUUGUAUUUGUAUAAUGAUGCUUAAAUAAGACACACACUUACAUUUGCUGUCUUCCUCUUAUGGUGGACAAGUGAAUAAAGAUAACUAACUUACCUUCAACUGAGACUCCUAUAUCUAACAUUCAGAUAUUCACAUCAGCUCAAAAGUCAUGUCAUACAGCAGUAUUUAUUUAUUCUAUUUUAUCUUUAGCCUCUAAAUUUUGUAGUGUAUAAAUGACACUUUUAUGCCAAAUGUUUCCUCAUCUUUAAAAUCCUAUUUCUGUAAUGUAUUUUCAGAAUUUUAUUUCUUUUAGGGUGGAAGGAGAGUCAGUACUUCUUUAUAUGAAUAUCUACACUUUUCACAAACUCAUCGUUGGUGCCUUCCCACAUAAAGGGAUUCAAAAAAUUCUUUAAUGCAGAAAAUGCUACUUUUUAACUUUAUAAAAUAGCUUAAAAAUAACUAGAUGCCAGUCAGCUAGUUCUGUAACUGAGAGAAUGUGCAACUACCUCUGCCAGGACUGUGGUUGCAUGUUAACACUAAUCCUGGUUAUGUGUACUGGAACAAUAGCCCAUAUUCUAAAGCAGCACAUAGGUGCAUUAAAAAUGUAAUAUAUUUUAUAUGUACUAUUCCCGUAUGCCCACAAUUGGUGGAACAUGUGCACUUAAAGAUUAAACACAUCACAAAAUGUAAAGGGGAUCUAGAUUUGCCUUAAACAUAGAUGACAAUAAAUUAAAUUUGUUAGAAGACAUUGGCAUACUCUGUAAAAGAACACCAGUGUAACUUAUCAGUAAAAUGAGGGCUUAAUACAGUCAAUACAGUCAACAAUAUUUUGUGUAACUUCGAGUGUUUAAAAAAUUAUUAAUAUACAUAUAGCCUGCAAUGUGUAAACAUGAAUGAUGCUCUCACAUAAAUGCUUAUUGAUUUUCAGUCCUUCAGCACCACAUAUACUGUAUUAGGCAAUGCUUACAUAACAGAAAACAAAAAUUCUUGCAAAGGUAAUUUGUUUGUGAAUGCUUCCCUGGUCAUGAGUGUUGUUUGGAAUCUGGGCCAAAAUAUUGUAUGUACUGUACUGUAGUUACUGUUUGUAUGCAAUUAUAGGAGGAAAAUACUCUUGACUGCUGCACAGAACACAUGUGAAGAGAUUGAUAAUUUUGAUACUUCUCAUUUAUGACUGAGGUUUAUUGCUUGUAAACAAUGAAGAUGUAGGUUUAUAUUGUGUUUAGUAGGAUGAUAUAUGAUACCGUAUUGUAUAUUAAUUGCAUGAACUCUUAGCUUAAAGAUAUUAUAAUAGAUGAAAAAUUUCUUUAUUUGUUUUUCAAAAGAACUUAAUCAUGUAUCCUCUCACAUGUCAUUAUUAUCAGUGUAAAUGUUCAUGGUAUUAAACAGGAUCAUGA